GCCGGAGUGGCGGAAUGGCAGACGCAGGGGACUCAAAAUCCCCCGCCCUUUGCGGGUGUGUGGGUUCGACUCCCACCUCCGGCACCA
rnacentral:tRNA from 1 species